rnacentral:lncRNA from 1 species
UACAAUUAUGCUAAAUUUUAUAUUGAUUUUAAUAUUUAUUAAAUUAAAUAAUUAAUAUUAUACAUUAGAAAUGUAUAAAAAUUAUAAAAACUGAGGGCAGCUAGGUGGCUCAGUAGAUUGAGAGCCAGGCUUAGAGAUGGGAGGUCCUAGGUUCAAAUAUGACUUUGGCUAUUUCCUAGCUGUGUGAUCCUGGGUAAGUCACGUAACCCCCACUGACUAGUCCUUACUGCUCUUCUGCCUGGGAACCAAUGCAUAGUAUUGAUUCUAAAACAGAAGGUAAGGAUUAAAAAAAAACAACAAGCCACCUAAGGUUUCAGCCCACAGCCUGUUUCUAAAAUGCAACUAGGAUUGCCUCCUAUGUUCUCCACACUUGAGAUUCAAACUAUCAGUGUUGGCUUGAGAAUACUGCUGACUGAUGGUGGAAGACUCUCCAGAUGACCACCCUGGAGGCAGGUACAUGACCUCUGGUGAUGCAGAGAGGGAACCUUGUCAUGAGUUCAUCAGAACCUUUAAGACCCAGCUGUUGAAGUCCAGUGGCAAGACAAAAGUCAGGAUGACUUGGGACACAGAGGAUGAUCCUUUGAUCUUUGAUGUUUCACCAAGCUGGCUAAGAUGUGAACUGGAAUGACCUCCAGGAAUUGAUGCAGAGUGAAAGGAGCAGAACCAGAAGAACCUUAUAAACAGAGACUAAUACACUGUGGCACAAUUUAAUAUAAUGUUCUUCUCUGCUAGCAGCAAAACUAUGAUCCAGGACAAUUCUGAAGGAUUUAUGAGAAAGAACACUAUUGACAUCCAGAGGAAGAACUGUGGGAGUAGAAAUAAAAAAACAAAAAAAAACUGCUUGAUUACA